GAUGAACGCUGGCGGCGUGCCUAAUACAUGCAAGUCGAACGAAACUUCUUUAUCACCGAGUGCUUGCACUCACCGAUAAAGAGUUGAGUGGCGAACGGGUGAGUAACACGUGGGCAACCUGCCCCAAAGAGGGGGAUAACACUUGGAAACAGGUGCUAAUACCGCAUAACCAUAGUUACCGCAUGGUAACUAUGUAAAAGGUGGCUAUACUACCGCUUUUGGAUGGGCCCGCGGCGCAUUAGCUAGUUGGUAGGGUAAAGGCUUACCAAGGCAAUGAUGCGUAGCCGAAUUGAGAGGUUGAUCGGCCACAUUGGGACUGAGACACGGCCCAAACUCCUACGGGAGGCAGCAGUAGGGAAUCUUCCACAAUGGGCGAAAGCCUGAUGGAGCAACGCCGCGUGGGUGAAGAAGGUCUUCGGAUCGUAAAACCCUGUUGUUAGAGAAGAAAGUGCGUGAGAGUAACUGUUCACGUUUCGACGGUAUCUAACCAGAAAGCCACUGCUAACUACGUG
rnacentral:rRNA from 1 species